ensembl:lncRNA
UUCUGAGAUUAAAGUCAGAAUUCUGACUUUUUUCAGAAUUCUGAGAAUAAAGUCAGAACUUAAUUUUUUUACAUGUGUGGCCCUAAUCCUCUUCCGUACAUUAAGAUCAAUUUCCGAAAGAUUAAUUUUUAUUUCUUUUAGUCGAGUUUAUCAUUGGUGCCUAAACUUAUGCCUACCACUGUAUGUUCCCAACCCUGAUGCUGUGCCCAUUGUGUAUGAUCUCUCACAGGACAGUGACCUAGAGGAUGACGUGGACGCGGCGGACAAAUCCACACAGACUCCCACUACAGCGGAUCCCUCCUAUCAGAGCCACGGAGUGAAGUCCAUGGAGCGCGGGGGGUUCACCUCUAGGGUGCGCUCAGUCGUGGUCAUGGUGAAGCAAAGAGAACUCCACGGCCGUUUAGAGGAGGUGAUCCAGCUACCAGGACGCCAGACACCAAUCAAAGAAUCAAUGUUUGUCAAAGGCCUUGCAUUAUUUCACAUGAAGCUCUGUCAUUGACAUUUGCUGACCUACCAAUUCAUGUGCAGUUUGUUUACAUCACGUUAUGUGAGUCUUCAGCCUCAAAGGAGGAAUGAUGUAAAUGAUUUUAGUCUAUGCUAUUUCUGACGACAUGUUUCAAGCUGACAACAGUUAUGAAUGGUUUCUUCUCCACAUAAUGGACAACACCAUAUAAGGUUUUAUGAUUUUGUAGAUAAGUUAAAGACUACAAACAUGGCCACUUUGCCAUUUCCGCUAAAGCCAAGAAAGACCAAAGGUUUACCUGGGUAGAACAUGUAGGUGGCUUAUUACCAAAAAGUUGUACAGUUAGUGCUAUUAAUUAUCUGAUGUGCUUAGACUAAUAAUAAUUAUAAUAAUAAUAUCUUUAUUUAUAUAGCACCUUUAAAAAUAAUAGUUUACAAAGUGCUUUGACAUAAGACAAUUAGGAAGACAUUAGAGAAUAAAAGACGCAUCAUGUAAAAGCAAGUCUAUAAAAAUGUGUUUUUCAAAAGUGAUUCCAGUAGGCCUAAUACCAGUACGGUCAACAUUUUGGGUUCCACAACCAGGUAACGAGGCGUGUUUGCCAUGAUCACGCCUUGUUUUUUUUGUUUAACUAAAUUCUGCUCUUUGUACAGAUAUUUUUAGUAGUUUAGUUUAUUUAUCUACUUUUAUUUUAAGUAUAUUUUGUGUGAAGGGAACUUGCAAAUUAAGAAUUUCAUUGCCCAGUGUAAAGUAUGUUUCCAUUGUGUAUAUGAGAAUAAACGAUCUUGUAUCUUGUAUCUUUUAUGUUGUCACGUUUUUCUUAUUAAGAAAAGCGUGAUUGUUCAUUCGAUGUAAAUAUCCAAUUGUUUUUAUUAAUGAAUUGUGGCAACCGUGGUCGCCUUGUUCAGGGUGACGC